GUAAUUAUUAUUUCAAAUAAAUCUUAAAAAACUGCUUGAGCAGAUGGUAAAUCAAAAUGAUAUGAUUAGAGAUAAUUGCCUCUUGAGUUUAUACCCCCGAAAUAUAUUUAUUCUGUGUUUAUUCCAGGUAUCUAUACCCCAAAUAUAUAUUUAUCCUAUGUUGAUCCCAGGUAUCUAUAGUCCAACAAAAAUAUUUAUCCUGUGUUGAUCCCAGGUAUCUAUAGUCCAAAAUAUAUUUAUCCUGUGCUUAUCCCAGGUAUCUAUACCCAACAUAUAUUUAUCCUGUGUUUAUCCCAGGUAUCUAUACCCACAAAUAUAUUUAUCCUGUGCUUAUCCCAGGUAUCUAUACCCACAAUUAUAUUUAUCCUGUGUUUAUGCCAUGUAUCUAUACCCAACAUAUAUUUAUCCUGUGUUUAUCCCAGGUAUCUAUACCCAACAUAUAUUUAUCCUGUGCUUAUCCCAGGUAUCUAUACCCACAAUUAUAUUUAUCCUGUGUUUAUCCCAGGUAUCUAUACCCACAAUUAUAUUUAUCCUGUGUUUAUCCCAUGUAUCUAUACCCAACAUAUAUUUAUCCUGCGUUUAUCCCAUGUAUCUAUACCC